CAGGAAUCGAAGCUGUGGGCUGUGGGGACAGGUGUGGACAGUAGCAUGGAGGGGAGAAAUUUGUGGAUCCUGACCUGCUGUUGCGGUUCCCAAGAUGUUUCCAGUGGCCCCAGCCCUACGUCUAUAUAGGACCGAAUGGGAACUAUAAUAAAGCAAGUCUGCUGCAUCUCAAGAUAACUAUGUUCAUCUUGAAAAAAGCGUUAGAAAAGCAGGGAGAGAAUUGGGCCCUUUGCUUGCAGCACAAGAAGAGUGCAUACAGAUCUGCUGGCCAUGGGGACUGUCAUCAGUGAAACUGAUCGUGCUCUUUCUCUUCACUGGUAAAGAGUAAAGCAUUGUUCACACAUUGUCCAUGUGAAUUGUGUCUUCUUGCAACACCAGCACCUGCAACCAUGGAGCAGGUUGAC